UUUCUGACGAGUCCCUUAUAGGACGAAACGCGCGUCAAA
rnacentral:hammerhead_ribozyme from 1 species